rfam:Homo sapiens chromosome 19, GRCh38 reference primary assembly.
GCCGGGUGCGGUGGCUCACACCUGUAAUCCCAGCACUUUGGGAGGCAGAGGCAGGUGGAUCACCUGAGGUCAGGAGUUCAAGACCAGCCUGGCCAAAAUGGUGAAACCCUGUCUCUA